GACCCCGGCUGCCUUCCCUGUGCCUCCUUUUAUCACUAUCAUCACAGCAUGCGCAGCCAUGCUGAUUGUGGAAAAACAGUGUUACUCUUAAACGGAAAAAGAGGGGAAAUAAAGGACAAGAGAAAGCCGUGGCGGAAACGGGCUUCCAUAGUAAUCAGUGGGAUUUGCGAUGAAUGAAAUAAAGGAGCUGAAAUUCGGCAUGAACACAGCGACAUAGGCGACCAAAGAGAAUGACGCUAGGAUAGCUGAAUUGGAGGUGAAGUUAAAUGAAGCAGAAAGACACAGUCUGAGAUUCCCGAAAAGGCUGAGGAAAACAUUAAAGAUACAGUCAUCAAUAUCUGCAGAACGGUCGCUCCGGAGAUUAAAGAGAAGUUAACCGCAGAGGUAGAUGUUACUUGUAGGACGGAGCAGCGGUAUCCGAGAACCACAAUAAUCCAAUUCGCCAGUCGAUCACCUCGUGACUAUAUUUGAGAAAAGCGAAGAGAUGCGACUUACUGAAGACUGAAGCGGUUUACCGAGGAGCUUUAACUACGCUGGAUAUAGAGACGCGACAUCUGUUAUAUGGCCGCAAAUCAAGGAAGCUCGAGAGAAGGGACGCAAAGUAGGGCAUUUAUUGAUGAUGUAGAAAUUAAACCAAAUUGAUGUAUUAUUUCAAAAUGUUUUGUUCAAUAUAGCGUAAGUCUGAUGUAUGAAGAUACGUUAUGCAAAAGAUUCCUUGGGGAAUGUGAAAGUUUGUUAACUAUGUUAACUAUGGUUGUCUUUAAAAUUUAAUAGAGGAGAAAAAUGUUAGAAGUUGCUUUGGUUAUUCUCCCAUUAGGAUUUGAGCAUUAUGGAAGGCAAAGACCCCCCUUUGAGUCAGGUAUACAGCAACCUACUUUAAUGUUUGAUCCAAGAAGGUCUUGUUCUCGUUCACUUUGUCUUUAUCACUUUGCUCAGUUAAUGUCAGGGGUAUCCGUGAUUCCACCAAAAGAAAAGCAGUGUUUAUAUUUUGUAGAAGAUAUCAAGCAGACUUACUUCUAUUGUAAUUUGUAACUGUUGAUAAUAAUAAUAAAAAGAAAAGAAUUAGUGUUGCCACCUGCCGGCCUCACUAGCGGGCUUUUGAGGAACCGAAAUAGACGGGAGCAAACUAAGAACGUGCGGGAGGAGGACGUGAAAGAAGCCGCUUUUAUGCAGCUGGACUCAUUGAACGGCACUUCAUGUGUUCAAAAACGUUAAACGUACAGGUGCAUUGAUUCAGUGUCAUUUAAAUUUGAACUUAUCCAAUGUCGUACGUAUGGGUAUGGAUACAAGGUGCGUCUGUCUCUCAGCCCCUCGGGCCUAUCUGAACAGCAACGUCACAUCCAGGGAGCCGUCAUGAUGAAUGUGGUGAGUCAUUGCCAGAUUGUAUUUUACUUUGAACCAGAGCUGUAUCAGAGAAUGUUCAACAUUCUGUUAGCCUUUAAGCCAUAAAAUGUGUUUGCAGUCAUCUCCUGAAACUAUAUAUGUAGCACAAUUUAAUUAAUUUCCUUUGUAAUUGUAAACUGCAGCUUCUUUGUAGUUACGGGGCAGCCUGCGUCAGAGGUGAUCAGCACACAAUCGCGGGGCAGACUGUCAGCACCAUUGAAUUCCUGCGGCAAUGGCAGCCACUAUUAUACCUGCCGAAGGAAUCCCUGAUUACCUCCUGAGUCACGAUGCCACCUUGUGGUAGGAAGGCAAAAAGCCACUGGAUCUAACUAAUCUCCUUAGCUUUCACAAGGCGGAAUGCACUUCUUAGUUGUAUGAUGCAGGUUGUCUGAUAGUUAUUACAAUAAUUACAAACUUCUAGCUUAAGCAAUCAAUGUCCCAAACUCAAAUAACUUGUGACCACUGGCUUGGAGGUCUUUCCUUCAAGAGAGCCACCAGCUUCUCUUUUCAGCAAUAUCGGGAUAUUCUGCUGAACAGCUGGGCCCGGUUGUUCAGAAGUAAUCGGAUCAGAUUUUCGGAUCAGAUCAGAAUCUUUAUUACCAUUGUGCAACGACACUAGAUGCAGUCCCUUUCAGUGCAAAAAGGUCAAAAUAAAAAUUUCUAAAUAGCAUAUAAGAACAAUAAAUUAUAUAAAAAGCAGUAAAUGUAUGCAGUGCAUUAUGCAGCAACUGUGACAGUGAGAGGUAAGGUAAUAUAUUUAAAGUCAAACAUACAUUGUAGUGAAUGAGCAAUAUUACACAGAGUAACAGAGCUGCACAGUGAGAGACUGGAUGAUCAUUCAUUUCAGUUUGUUACUUAUAACAGUGAUGGCCCUGGGCUAUGUACUGUUUUUCAGUCUGUUUGUAUGAGCUGUUAUUGCUCUGUACUGCCCGCCUGAGGGCAGCAGAUCAGACAGGUGAUGUGCUGGGUGUGAUGUGUCCUCCAGGAUGCUGCUGGCUUUUCUGUAGCAGCGGGAUCUGUAGAGCUCCUCUAGGGACAGGAGAGCACAGCCGGUGAUUUUCUUGGCUGAGUUAAAGACCCUCUGCAGCGCAGUUUUUUUUCUCCUGCAGUGCAACUGGCAAACCACACAGUGAUGCAGUCAGAUCCUCCUCCAGAUGCAGGCCCAGGAACCUGAAGGCUGGGACCCACUCCACACAGUCUCCGUUGAUGUAUAUGGGCUGAGGGACAGAUCUGUCUCUCCUGAAGUCCACCAUGGUUUUUGUGGUGUUGAGGGUCAGGUUGUUCUUGCUGCACCAUGUUGACAGUCUUGCCACUUCAUCCCUAUAUGCAGUCUCGUCCGCCCCCUGAGAUGAGCUAGACCACGGUCGUGUCGUCUGCAAAUUUAAUGAUGGCAUCACUUGGGUGGGUGGAGAUGCAGUCAUGGGUAUAGAGAGUGUCCAGUAGGGGGCACACAUCCCUGUGAGGAGCCAGUGCCAAGGCUGAGUGCUGAGGAGGGGUGAGAGUCUACCUUGACACGGUCAGUUAGAAAUUUUUUAAACCAGAGGCAGGUGGAGUGUGGGAAACAAGGUUGUGUUAUAUAGUUACCAGUCUGUUUGGGAUGAUUGUGUUGAAGGCAAAGCUGCAGUCAAUGAAUGGAAGUCUGUCAUAGCUCCCCUUCUGCUCCAGAUGGGUCAGAGUUAUAUGUAGGGCUGUGGCUAUGGCAUCCUCUGUCGACCUGUUCUUCCUGUACACCUAUUGGUGCGGGUCAAAUGCAGAUGGAAGACUUUUGAUGAUGUGGUUUCUGACCAGUUUCUUGAAACACUUCAUAAUGACUAGAGUGAGCGCCACUGGACGGAAGUCAAUCAAGUUGCCAAGAGGGGUCUUUCUUGGGAUGGGGGAUGAUGGUUGAAGACUUCAGGCAGGUCUAGAUACAAGCUCUUCAAGAUUACCAAAUCUAAAUUACAGGUGUUUUAAAUCGGACUACGUAUUCCAAUGUAGACUGAUAGCUAUGUAAAGAACAAUAGGUAAAGUAUUGUUCUUUGAAGAGACAGAAAACAACACAAUAAAAUAAAAUAUUUUCAUUUUCUUUUAAACAGUCAGAGCCCCUCACCUAACCAACAACAAAUAAACAAAUAUAAAUAUACAUUGUUCACACAUUGUGAAUAUUUUGAACAUGUGUUUCAAAUCAUAAAAAGGUUAAAUGUUCAAUAGUUAACAAUAAUAAGGGAUGUAACUGUAUUUUUUUUUUAACUCUUUUUUUACUUUAGUGUGCCUCAUGUCUACUUUACCACUGUAAUGGUUGAAGUCCAAAAUAUAA